rnacentral:lncRNA from 1 species
UUUAUGUAUCACUUCAAAGAAGCAGAGAUGCUGUUGACCUCAUGAAACUUUGUCAAAUAAGAGCCCGUUUCCUGGCAGUGAAAGAUCCUAACUUGCAUUGAUUCAGCAUGCUAUCUGAAGAUCAGGACUGCACUUGGAGGAUAUCAUCAUGUAAAUCUCGGGAGGGGAAAAAGAAGAAGAGAAGGAAACCCUUCAUUCCAGACUGUUAGAUUUGACCCUACAAGUCUGCAGAGGCAUGUUGCUGGUGGAUGAACUGAUAGUCCAGUUAGUUAAUCAGCAUGGCGUGACCAGUUUCAGAGUGAAAUGGAUCAAAGCAAAACCAGGAUUUCUGACCUACAUGAUGCUAUACAACCAGUCUGUACUGUAGCUAGUACAUUCAGAAGCUGCUAGAGAUCAGCUAAUGCUCAAA